UAUACGUGGUAAGAAAUUGAAGUUGUGACCUUCUUAUACCUAGAAAACAUUGUGAAGCCAUUAGUUAUGGAAUUUUGAUCUACUUCACUUUUUUCUUCUUUUUGCUUCUUACUUUUCUUUCCUCUCGUUCAUAUAUAUGCUUACCUUAAACAAUGGACAGGUUGACAUAAACUUCUACGAAGAAUCUUGUCCCAACUUUCCCACCAUUAUUGUUAGAUAUGAUGUUUGGUCAGCCAUAAAAAAUGACACCAGAAUGGCUGCGUCUCUCCUUCGAUUGCACUUUCAAGAUUGCAUAGUAAAUGCUUUUUUUUUUUUUUUUAUUUCUUACAUUUCAACAUUAACUGCAUGUAUACCUACUUAUUACUUGAUUAGCAUGGUUUUUCUCUGCGUGUUUUUUUUUUCUCAUAAUCAUGGUGAGUUUUUUUCCCUUGGUACGCAUUUAUAUGCUUCAUUGUCCUUUCUCUUGUUGUGUAUAAUAAUCUCUUUAUCUACCCAGUUUUUUUACUUUGGUUUGUCAAUUUUUCGUUCAAAUGCUGCCGCACUCCGUCUGAAUCCAUAAAAAUAUUAACUAGCAGUUUUUAACAACUAGGUUUACUUUCAUUGUCUUAGAGUAUUUGGCAAAAUCAUAUACUUCAAAAAAAUUUCAAUUUAUUAAGAUCCUAUUAAAUAAUAUGUUUUCUCACAUCUUUUCAACUCUCAAAUCUCUCGACAUAAUCGUAUUAGUUAGAAAUCUCAUUUUGUAAUUAUAAAUGACAUUAGUAAAAAAUGUCAUUAUUAAAAUGUACUAUCAAAUUUCAUAUCAAUUUUAUUUGGAUAAAACUUUUAUUAUGUAUUUUAUUAUUUCCGAAAAAAAAACCUUAAUAUUAGUUAAAACGAACUUACUACUUCUGUAAAAAGCAUGAUAGUUUUUUAUUAAUUGUGGUGCAUAGUGUUAAAUUUAAAAUUUGAUAAUUGAUGAAGAUAAAAUGGGUAUUUUAGUGUUAUUUUAAAAAGAAAAAUAGUUAAUAAUUUAUUUAUUUUAUUUGCUUAUGUUUAUUUUAAUGUGAGGACAUGAGGGUACAAAGUAAACUAUGCAAUAAUUUUUACCGUAAGUGGUUUGCAUUACAUCUAUAAUAUGUCAAUUACUUAUUGUAUGGGUAACAUGCCGGCCAUAUCCCGGCCUCUCUGUAUGUGGAAAGGCCGACCACACUCCCCAGCCCCAUGGAGAGGGAAGGAGACGUGCACGCAAGCCCAGCAGACAAAGGAAAAGGGGCCAGCAUGAUGUAGAGGUCGGCUACAUCUCGGUUUGCCGCCUGGCCCCGGCCCAAUAGUGGCUAGUUGGAUAAGGAUGAUGAUGUACAAACGAGCAAUCUUAGUCAAUAAGGAAAGAGCUGAUCCUUGACAAGGUACAAACGAGCAAUCUUAUUCAAUAAGGAAAGGUCUGAUCCUUGACAAAGUACAGACGAACAAAUCUCAGUCAAAAUGAAAAGAGUUGAUCCUUGACAAGGUAUAGACGAACAAAUCUUAGUCAAAAAGGAAAGGACUGAUUCUUGGCAAAGUACAGACGAACAAAUCUCAGUCAAAAUGGAAAGAGCUAAUCUUUGACAAGGUAUAGACGAACAAAUCUCAGUCAAAAAGGAAAGGACUAAUCCUUGGCAAAGUACAGACAAACAAAUCUCAGUCAAAAUGGAAAGAGCUGAUCCUUGGCAAGGUACAGACGAACAAAUCUUAGUCAAAAAGGAAAAAGCUGAUCCUUGACAAGGUACAAACGAACAAUCUCAGUCAAAAAGGAAAAAGCAUAUCCUUGACAAGAUACAAACAAAUAAUCUCAGUCAAUAAGGAAAGAACCGACGUGUACAAUCUUAGUCAGAAAGGAAAGAGUUGAUCAUCGAAUGCGAAUGGCCCGCAAAUAAUAACAACAUGUCUACUAAGAGAUUAAUGUAAAUAAAGGUCUAGUGACUACAAAGAGGUACACUUUUCUCACUUUACUACAUACGCCUCAUAUCGAAUCACUAUUUGACUUGAGCGUCAGAAUGCCUGUAGGUACCCCCACUCUCGGAGUUCAUACAACAAGAAAAUCCAGGAAGAGCCAAAGAGAAACAGUAGGAGGGUCGACACAGAAGGUUCUUGAGAUCGUCUGGUUCCAUACUAAAAUAGUAUUGAUCAGGUACACUUAUGAAAAGGCUACGAUGCUUUCUAUUGUCCUUGAUGAUACACCAUAUUUCUCAGGUGCAAAGAAUGCUUUUCCAAAUCGCAAUUCACUUCUGGGGCUCCAACUCAUUAAUAAUAUAAAAUAACAAGUCAGAAAGGCUAUGACCAUACUGUCCUACGUUGAUAUCUUAGCUUUAGUAGAGCGAUGGAUAUCAUUCACAAAAAUACUCAUAAUUAAAAUAAAAAAUGAAAAUAAAUGGAACAAAAUAGAUAAUAGACAAAUAAUGUAAUUUUAUUAAAAGAAAGAAAAAUUACAUAUCAUUCAUCUUAAGGAGAAAACAAUAACAACCUCUCUCUUGGAAAUAAAAAACAAAUACAAGAAGGACUUUAACGGAGAAAUUAACCCUCUCUCACUUUAAAGGAGAAACUAAUAUUCUCUUUUAAUCCUUCUCUCAAGAAAUAAAGUAAAAGAAAUGAAAAUGAAUGAAACUUUAGGAUGUGUUCCUAAGGAAACAUUUGACUCCUUUUAUAACAUGAAAAGUAAGUUCCAAUAUGUAAUCCCCCACCGAUAUGGGAAUUCUUUUCUAAUAUUCUCCCACUUGAAGAUUUUGAUGAAAAUUAAUCAAAUCUUCACACCAUGCUUUAUUUUUUGCCAUUCUAUCAUAACACCUAAAGUUCCUUUGAUGUAUCUCAAGAUCCUCUUAAUAGUACUUCAAAAUAGCAUUCAUAAGGUUACCCACUGCCGAUGCAUACGGUACUCGAGACAUCUCCAUCAUCUCUGCUACACUAUUAGGACUCAUAGGUGAGGAACCGUUGAUAGAAAGUGGGGUAGAAAUUGGCUUGCAAUCUUGCACGUUGAAGCGCCACAAGAUUUUCAAUAAAUAUUUCUUUUGAGAAAGCCAAAUCUUCUUAUCUUUUUUGUCUCGGUUAAUUUGCAUCCCUAAAAUCUUGUAUGCUAGUCCCAAGUCCUUCUAAUCAAGCUUCCUAGCUAACCAUACUUUAAAUUCCUAGAUUUGAGAUUUGUUGGGCCCUACGUGUAAGACCCGAGAAAAUUAAAUAAUUAAUUAAAUAAUUAUUUAUUAAAUAUGGGUAGUAGGAGUCUUUAUGGCAUUUAAUGUUGAUGGUUAUGACGUGGAAAAGUACUAGCUAAGUGGUUGAGAGUACUUGAUUGUGUAAGAGGACUUGAAUAAUGUAAUCCUAAAAUUGUGUUUUGUUUUUAAUUUAUGCAUUAUUUAAUGUUAUGUUUGAAUGCGGUUAGUGAUAAUGUAAUCCUAAAAUUAUAGAAAGUAUCACGAAACAUAGAUUGGUUGAAUAUGUUGUGCAUUAGCUUUGUGAUUGAAUGGUUGUGUGUUUGAACCUUGCUAAGAACGAAAUUAAACUCUCUUUUUGCCGAAUUUUCUUUUGGCAUGAAGGUGAAAGGGUAUAGAAACCCUAGCUACAAAAGUGACAGCCAAGAGAGAUAGAAAAUAGCCAUAAUGGACCUUGAAUAACAAUUAACCUCAUGAUUAAUAACAAAUUUCGUUUUAGAACAUUAACCCUCAUUAAGGGACAAUUAAGAGAUAUUGAAUUGGAAAGAAAAGGUGAAUUUGAGACUGCAUUUUCGUGGUGCUGAGAGGAGAGGGUUCCAAAGCUAUCAAAAAGUGCUUUUAGAGGAGUGAAAGCUGAGAAUUUUGGAGUAGGGAAGGAAGGUUCUUAGAUCUCUUGAAAGAAAAGCUUGGAAGACCAAUUGGAGCAAGGAUUCCAGUUUUUAGGUUUCUGCCCAGAAACCGCCUAGCAGUCGGGAGUGUGCCGUCAGGCGAUGCAUCAUUUUUCUACCUAGUUUUCUGGGUUCUGCUAUGAACCUCUUGGCGGUAGAGGUGAACUCGUCAGGCAAUGCAGGGUGAUUGUAGUUGUGUUGUGCAUUUUGUGAUUUUUUGUGAUACUAUGACUCUCCAUUUGGAUUAUUAAGUCUGUGUAAAUGCGUGAUGCCAUAGUGUUGCUAUC